rnacentral:tRNA from 1 species
UGAUUCACUAGCUCAGUUGGUAGAGCACAUGACUUUUAAUCAUGUUGUCCGGGGUUCGAUUCCCCGGUGGAUCACCAAA